rnacentral:rRNA from 1 species
AGGGUUUGAUUAUGGCUCAGGAUGAACGCUGGCGGCGUGCUUAACACAUGCAAGUCGAACGAAGCUUGAUCCCGGAUCCCUUCGGGGUGACGGGUGAUAUGACUGAGUGGCGGACGGGUGAGUAACGCGUGGGCAACCUGCCUCAUACAGGGGGAUAACAGUUAGAAAUGACUGCUAAGACCGCAUAAGACCACAGCACCGCAUGGUGGAGUGGUAAAAGCUCCGGUGGUAUGAGAUGGGCCCGCGUCUGAUUAGCUGGUUGGUGAGGUAACGGCUCUACCAAGGCAACGAUCAGUAGCCGGCUUGAGAGAGUGAACGGCCACAUUGGGACUGAGACACGGCCCAA